rnacentral:rRNA from 1 species
AUGAGCUUCGCUCAAGAGCAUAGCUCAUACCAAAACAAUUACUCACAUGGGUGGCCUGAAAACCCGAAUAUGUCAUAUAGGAGCAACAACCCUGAGAUCUCAUCGUUUGCUUCUAGUAAUCAUAUGCACGGAUUUAGGUAUGAAGAGGAGAGCAACAACUAUGCACCACAACAAUUUUAUUCACAUUCUACUCAUGUACCUCAGCACCAGGAGAUGUGUCCAACGGAGUUAAAUGGUCCUCCAUUUGGUCAACCAACACCUUCAACACAAGUGCCUACUCAAGAUGAGUUCGAUGACAUAGACAAGCUCGCACUUUGGAGUCUCGAGUUCACUUGGAGUGCCGAGGAUGAUCCUAUUAGGAAGGUCAUACUAGAUGAAAUGAAGAAGAUCAAGAGUGGGAAUGAGCUAGUGGAAGAACUAAAGAAGAUUGAGAAGAACAUCAACGCUGGCAGUACUAUUUUUUCACAGCUUGAGCUGAGUAAUUCUGGGAUUCCCCUUGAUACAUGUGAGGUUCCAAUACCGUCACAUCCAGCUGAGCAAGAUAGCAAGUGCCUUGAGCAAGAGAUACCUCAGGUUGAAGAAGAUGAACUAGAAGACAAGGAACAAGAUGAUCAAGGGCUGCAAUUCCCAAGUGAUCAAGUUGAAGACUCGUCAUCUACUACUCCUGAAGAAGUAAAAUAA